CCAUACAUUACCGGCCAGAGGCAGAGAGCAGUGCCUUGUGGAGCCAGGAAGGGCCUACUGAUGGUCACAAAAAUGUCUUUCCACCUGGCGCCUGUGUGCUACUCUGACGGUGUUGUCUGAAUUAUGGACACAAGGCCCAAGUCUGCUUGAGUUUCCCUUGGAAAUUUUGGACUCCCUGGUGAUGACUCCAAGAUUCAUUAAAAAGAAUGGAAAUUUGGUAGUAGGGAGAGAUUUUACCUUGGAGGUGAUGCCUGCAAACAUUUUGUUAUGCCAUUUGCAAAAGAAUGAACAGAACUACAAGAACACCAACUGCACCAGCAGCCGAUGAUAUCAGAGGGAAACCGAGGGUAGAAUCUUGGUGUUAGCAUCAGUUCUCCUUAAAGAGUCUGGUAUCAUAAACAAAUGUAAGAACAAUUACGGGCCCAGGCCUCAAGUGAUUACCAUUUAAUACUUUCUUAAGAUCUCAC
rnacentral:lncRNA from 1 species